rnacentral:lncRNA from 1 species
AGCACAUACACAGUGGCUCACAACUGUUUGUAACUCCAGUUCCAGGGGAUCUGACAAGCAGAAGACCUGCCCAAGAUCAAGCCAUUCAACAUUCCCAACCUGAAGUUGGAGGAGCACAAGAACAACCCCAUUAUGAUGUGAGAAGCUAUUGACAAUUGAUAGAUUCUGGAAGGAGAAACAAUUUCCUCCAAGUGUGUAUCUCCUGGUAUGUAUAUGCACCGUGUGAAUACAAUGCCUGUGGAGUCCACAUGAGGGUGUUUGGUCCCCUAGCCACAGAGUUACAGGCAGUGGUAAACCUCUAUGUGAGGUCUGGGACUUGAACCCAGGUCCUCUGGAAGAUCAGCCAGUUCUCUUAUCCAUUGAGCAAUGCCUGUAGCCCCAUUAAAUCUAUCUUUAAAAAGUAGUAUUGACUUUCUUUUCUGUUGAAUCCAAAAAUC